rnacentral:lncRNA from 1 species
GACUCUUGAACUUCCAUAACUUGAGGACAAGUUAUGGAGUCAAAAAAAAUUAUUCAAUGACACAAGACUCUUCAUUUUGUAACCAUUGCCAACUUUUAUGAGUUUUAUGAGUCUUUAAUGUGACUCUUCAUGUAACUUGAGGACAAGUUACACAAACACAUUUUAUACUCAACUCUUAGAUUAAAAUGGAUUGAAAACAACUAUUUCACUCAACAUUUCUAUUAAUCUAAGCAACUCAUAAGAACAAGAUAAUUCAAAUCAAACUUUUUCAUGUAAUUAGUCUAAACCUUAAACUAAUACAAAACAUGAAUCUAUUGACAAUUAUCUUUGAAAAUGGAUUAGCAUGAACAUUACCACAUCAAAAACAAGUUUAUAAGUUCAAAAACAACUUAGGGUAAUGUUCCUAGUCCAUUUCUAGCCAAAAAACUCGAAAAUAUGCUGUCUGGGGGUCCAACUCGUCGAGUGCAUGAACAAACUCGGCGAGUUGGAUCGAAUUCAUCACUUUUUAGGCAUGGACUCGUCGAGUCUCCUGAUGGACUCGCCGAGUCUGAUGGCCAGACAGCACCAGAUUCGUUUUUUCAGCUUCUAUUGCAGGUAUAACAAGAAAACAAGCCUAGGCUCUGAUACCACUGUUGGGUUUUGAGCAUUCUAACACUCCUAAGUGUACAUGCAACCCUAAAUACCUUGGAUCUAUGUUUUCUCUAUUAUACAUGCAAAUAAGAACUUCCAAGGUAUUAUCCUAAUCUAGCAUACAAAACAAUGACUAUAACAAGAUAGAAUACAUACCUCUUUGAUGUAGAAAGUCUUCAUGAAGCUUGAGUGCCUAGUGCCCCAAGUGUGACACCUCAAAUGGAAUCACAAUCAUCAAAACACUUGGAAUGACUUGAGAGAAUUCUACACUCUUCAAAAUCGGCUAGCCCUUUCUUCACUAUCACUAGUGGCCGAUUUUUCCUCAAUAAUAAGAUGCUUAUAUAGUUACACAAUUAGGGUAAACUCUUAAUUGUCAUGGCUUUCCAUUUCCUUGGAUCCAUGGGUACAAAUACACCAUGGAGCAUCCAUGGACCAUCCUAUGGGUUUUAGCCCAACUUGAUUAUCCAUGGAGCAUUAGCCCACUAUACAAGUAUGGAUGAUUUACACAAUCAACCCAUAUAUUUAAUUAGUCUUCUUUUGAUCACUUAAUUAAUCCUAGAUUAAUUCUUGAUCAAUACUAAUUAAAUAAUCUUAUUAUUCUUAUUAUUAAUAUACUAGAACUUAUAAUAUAUUAAUAACCAUAAGUGUCUUAUUUCUCUCAUUAUAGUCUAUCCAAGUGCAUGAUGGUAUGCAACCCAAAUGGACCAUGCCGGGUCGGGUCAAGUCUUACCAAUUAUAGUUAUGGACUUAGACAUUAAUCCAACAGUCUCCCACUUGGAUAAGUCUAAAACUAUUAUUGCGUAUGACUUCAGGAACCAACUGGCAAUCGUAGCUCUCAAAAGCUUCUGUCGAACUCUGACCUUGUAGAUGAACUCUGACCUUUGUCAAUGACUUGUCCAUUAGAUAAGGGAUCAUAUAUUCCUCCAUUCUAGAUAUCAUAUGGACUGAGACAUGGAUUAUAAUCAUUCUCUCUGUCCAUUUGUUGUUUCCCGAUUUCCGAUUUAUGACGACUGACUAAUUGAACAAAUCAAAUCAGUCCUGGCCCGGCCGAGCACUUCCAUUUGUCAUCAUCAAAUCAUCGAGGGGCCCACAGAUAUCGCUUUUAUCCCGAAGGUAAAAGGAAUGGAUAAACUUCGACUCAUAUGGCUUGUUCUACUACUUGUUGAAUCAUACACAAAGGCACGUUUUAUAGCACCGAGUUACCAAAUGCGUUUUCGUGCAAUCAAUGUACUAUCAACUCAUAGUAACAACUCAUAUCUCUAGGUUUGAAGAAUAUAAGAUAUUAUCGUCUCAUGAUCACUCGUGAUAAAAUCCAUGAAGUGAUUCCAAUGAGCGCGGGUUGAAUCCAAUACUCAGAACUUAUGAGCACUCAUGAGUGUUGUAGCCCUUUGUCCAACACCUUAGACCUCUACAAGCCAACCCAUGACAGUCUUAAUUCAUAUCUACUUCCAACAUAUGACCGACUGUGGAUGGUUUGAAUAACUUAGUCAUUCCGGAAGAAUAACCCAGUUUAUUCGGGAAGUCAAAACAUGCAAAAUGAAACACAAUAAUAAUUGAAUCCAAUAUGGUAUCAACCCUUUGAACAUAAAUAAAACACCUUUUAUUUAUCACCAUAUGAUUACACAUUAUUCAUUGUAUACUGUUUCAGCUAUCAACUUUAUUCUUGAAUUUAAAACAAUAGUUGUCCCAUGCUCCAAGCAUGUACACUAUGUUUUCUUAAACACUAGUCAUGCCACACACCAAGUAUGCAUACUAUGUUUGUCUAUGAUCUUUACUUUGUGAACUAGAUCAAUUGAACAUAACUUCAAUGAUUCUCUUUUCACACUCCCAAAUCCUUACUGCAAAUGCAAGAAUUCCAAAUUCAUGCCAUUUACUGAAAUCUGUUAGAUUCUAAACUUAUAUGCAUUGAUCCUCUUGUAAUGAUUAUGCACAAAGUCACAAAGACUUGGCAACAAUCAUUACAGAGUAUUCCAAAGGAGAUCAACUCCUUGGAAAUAUCCUUCUUGCAUUAAGUUUCCUUAAUCUUACACAGAUUGAAAAUUCUAACUUUGAAACAUUUCCAGAUUCCAUUUUGACUAUCACUUCUGAACAAGAGUUGCCUCCUUACAGAUUAUGUCAAUAUGGUCCUUCCAGAAUUAUCACUAUACUUCCAAUUGUCCUUGAGUAACCAAUCUUUGGUAAACCUUAGAUUGUCCUCGACAAUUGUUUAAUCCUUUUAGUCAUAUCCAGUUCUAAACCUUUUCCCUUCUUAAUGCCCCAGGCAUUUGGAAAAUUUUAGAACGGAUGAAUAUAGCACAUGUAAUCGAUCCUAUAUCCGAAGCAUAUGGGACACGAUUCAUGAUGUCUUACAUAAAGACUAAACCAGUCUUUUGCUAUAAUAUUUCCAUUUCAAUUUGCCAAGUUCUCAUAAUUCAGAUUAUGAAAAGGGAUGCCGUAAUCAUAAUCGAAUUUUAGAACGCAAAUAAUGGACCCAUAUACAGAAUUUCCUUAUGUUGAGCCAUUCCAACAUGAAAUUCAUAUAUAUCCUUGACUAAAUGAUUAAAACCUCACGAUCUAAGCUUAUAGAUUUGAGAUGAAGCAUAAUUUCCUCUCCCUUAAUUAUAGCAAAACAACUUUUUCCCAAUUGAAACUUUUGUUUUCUAUAAUUAACAUUGCUAACUUGCAAUACUUAUCAUAAUUAUCAUGCUCCCACUAACAUGAUGAUUAUUAGCAUAACACUUAUGCUCCCACUAGCUUUGACAUGUACUCAGAAAUCAGCUGGACAGUCUGAAAUUUAGAUUCAUACACCCUUUCCGUAGAUAGCUCACCUGUGUGUCUAAGCAAUUUCAAGAACCAUGAAAAGGGAUACCGUAAUCAUGGUCUCAAUUGCUUAGGCAUUUGCCAUUUCUCACAAGUCCAUGUUAGUGUGCCGGUUAACCACACGCGCUCCACUAACGACUUUUGAAAAUGCAAAUAACACAAUUGAUAUCUUCGUAAAAUCUACUUAGUGAAAGCGUUUCCUCACCAUCAUUUUCAUGAAUCGGAGAGAAACCUUAUGACACUUAGAUUUAUAUGGUGUAUGAGUUCCUACCCAUAUGAAUUUGUCAAACCAUAAUCACAAGACAAAGAUAAUGACAAAUCCAAAACCAUAUGGAUUGAACUCAAUCUUAACUUCUUGCCACCUGGCAGCUCAAGGGCCUGCCAUUGCUUCCAAGUUGUUGUGCAACAAAUUGAGAACUCUAAGAACUCAUAUGCAAAACCAACUUUAACUGGAAUGGGCACAGAAUAUGUCAACACGAUAGGUUAUGAACCUCAAGUCGUGUGCUAGUGAAGAACUUUAGGUUUUAUUCUUGAUUAUUUCUUGAGACUUUCAAGACCUUUAAGACUCCCACUGUCCUCUUGACAUAUAAGACUCCCUUGUCAAACAUCCAAGAGAUAGUGCGGAUUCUAAUCAAGAAAAACACUUUACCCAAUUGGCCUAAGUUGGUCUUUGUUUUAUCCAAAACAUCACAACUUACCAAUUUCAAAUGUACAAGAGUAGAAAACUUUUACUCUUACAUUUGACAAGUGUUUUAAACCUUCUUUAAGACAUGUCACUCAAAUGACAAUCUUGGAGUAUGACUCUAAGACUUGUAUUGGAACGAAGUAUGACUCAUCUUCUUGAUUUAACCAUUUCAACAAUUCAAGUUCCUCUUCUUAGUCAUAAGAAUGCACUAAGAUUUCCUUAGAGAACUAAUUUUGAUAUGGUUUCUUAAUCAUUAAGAUGAUCACAAAACUGAUACUAAAGUACUCUCCCAUCUUUUCAGAUUUGAGAAACUUUUAUCCUUCUGCCUUAUUUGAUUCUUCUUAUCGAUCUUUAGUGGUGGACUUAAUCAGUGCACAAGAAUGUGUACUCGAUCCCUAAGUCCUUUACUUGACUCACACAUCCAUGUGAACAAGUAAUUAGUCUUAAUUUUCCAAAACUUGAAAGUUCUCAUUCAUCAUGCUAUACAACUUGCAUGAUUCCAAGUUCCGGUCCAAUUGAAACUUGGGUGAUGAGAAUCUUUCCUUAUUUGGUAAAUUUAGACAUUACCACAAAUGAAAGAAUCAAUUUCAUACUUCCACUCUUGCUACUAAUGGAAUCUUAUAAGCAACAAAAAUUUCCACAGAUGCCAUUGUAAGGAUAUUUUAAAAUAAAUAAAAUCAAAAAUUUCCUUUUAUUUUAAAACUUUGCGGAAAAACUAUCCUUACAAUCCAUAUGAAAACUUGUUGUUAUCUAUUCCUAAGCAAUAUCUCAUAACUCCUAAGAAGUAGCUCAAGAAUCCGAUUUUUCAAACUAUGCGAUAGAAAUCCAUCUAUGCGAUCAGAUUCAGCAUAUUCUUCCUUUAAGUUUCUUCACUUUCCUUUGAUUCUUAAACCAUCACCAUGUGACCCAGUCACAUCAUGUAUCAAGAAUCUCAGAAUAGAAACUUAACAGAGUUAGAUAGUGGAUUUUACCUGAAGUAGAGUCAAACUUAUUGACUUUAACAUCCUUAGGUAAAUUUGGCAGCUUCGCAACCAAUGCCCUUUCUUUGGCAAUACAAACAUAUGGACCCUUUGAUAAUGGUACACAGGACUAUCACAGACUUAGCUUUUCUCUUUACCAUUUGGUCAACCGAGUUGACUAUAGCCGAUCCCUUUCCAUUGGGAAGAGAAUGCUUUACUGGAUAUCCAAUGUCAUCAUUGUCAAUGUCCAUAAAGUUUUAGGAAGUUGAUCUUAGCAAAUAGAUAAGAUCAUUAAGGGUCUUGUCAUAGUCUGUUUCAUAGGUGUCCCAAAGGAACUCACUAUGUGACUUAGAAAGUGGUUGAACCACCAACUUUCUCAAGACUUUGACACCCAACUCUCCCGGCUUGUCAAUAUGUGACUACAUCUCCAAGAUGUGACCACACCUAGACCUUGCCUUGCCAAUAGGGCCUGAGUGACCUUAAACUUUUCAAGAACUUGUGGGUUAGGGAGAAUAAUUUGAAGAGGUGAAGAAGUAUGAUAUCCAUGGGACAUCAUCUUCAUUAGGAAACCUUGUUUCAAGAGAUUUGGGAAGAUCAUAGGUGUCUAAACCAGACAUCUUUUGGGAGAUAUUCAAGAUAGUUGAUUUAAAGUCCUUAAUAUGACACCCAAUAUGAAAUAUUAAGGCUAGGACCCAACAAACUAUUUUAUAACUUAGAAGAGGUAUGCCGUAAUCCAAGCUAUAAAAUAUUUGAAGGUAGGUGAAUGACGAUUCACCAAUUUCCACCAAGAUAAACGAAAUGUAUUAUUAGGUUUUAAUUGGUUUUGAAACUCCUAGAUCUUUGAGAUUCAUUGAACUUUUCAAAGGCAUGUUUCAAUCUCGAGUGUGCCCUUCAGGUUUUGUGACUGGGAUGCCGAGGAUCACAAAACAAGGUGUGAAGUAACCAUGCAAAUCACUUGGUACCCUUAAUAAAUUACCCCUCAAUCGAUGUGCCGGUUAACCACACACGCUCCAUCGAUACUAUGAUAAAUAUUAAGUCACCCUUUACCUACCUUGUUAAGUCCAAGUUAGUGUGCCGGUUAACCACACACGCUCCACUAACGACUUAGACAAAGUGUAAAGUGUAAUUUCAUGGAUUAGCACCUUAUUCACAUUUUUCCUAAGUAACUAAGAUUGGGUAUUAUUAAGAGUUUAGUUACUUAGUAUUAUCAUUAAUACUUUUAAUGAAGGGAGAAUUCUAGUCCUGUCAAACCCGUUCGGCUAACGACCCUCCACCAGUCAAGCAAGCGGUGGGUGAGAGUGGACACCCAUUAAGUUGCCAUUUUAUAGGCAACAACCUUAUACCCACCUUAUAGACCGGCUUCGUGAAUGAGGCGUACUAGCGGUAAGACUGACUUUACUCUUAUACAUAUAUAUAUAUUAUUAACUUAUAAUAUUAUAAAGUAUAAGGGUUGAAUUUUAACUUUUAAAAUUCUAAGGGCUAACUUGGAAUUAAAGUAUUCAUAAGAGAAAACUUUACAAAUUCCAAAACUUGAGGGCAAGUUUUGAAACUAUUCAAAACUAAUUAAUUCCAUAACUUAUGUGUUUAAAGUAGUUUUAAUCCAAAAACUCUUCAAGUUCCAUAACUUGAGGACAAGUUAUGGAAGACUUUAAACUAAUAAAAGAAUUAACUUUUCUUUAUUUUAUAACUUAUGGAAUUAAUUAAGGUUACACCUUUUUUUUUUUUUAUUUUAUUUUAUUAAAUGAAGAGACUCUUGGUCCUCCAUAACUUGAGGACAAGUUAUGAAAUCAUAACACCAUUUAAUUAGAACUAGACUCUUCAUUUUUGUAACCUUUGCCAACUAUAAUGAGUUUUAUAAAACUUAAAUGUGACUUUUCAUAUAAAUUGAGGACAAGUUACAAACACACAUUUUAGAAUCACCUCUUAGAUUAAUUUGGAUUGAAAACAACUAUUUCACUCAACUUUUCAAUUAAUCUAAGCAACUCAUAGAACAAGAUAAUUUAAAUCAAACUUUUUCAUGUAAUUAGUCUAAACCUUAAACUAAUACAAAACAUGAAUCUAUUGACAAUUAUCUUUGAAAAUGGAUUAGCAUGAACAUUACCACAUCAAAAAACAAGUUUAUAAGUUCAAAACAACUUAGGGUAAUGUUCCUAGUCCAUUUGUAGCCAAAAAACUCAAAAAUAUGCUGUCUUGGGGUCCAACUCGUCGAGUGCAUGAACCAACUCGGCGAGUUGGAUCGAAUUGAUCACAUUUUAGGCAUGGACUGGCCGAGUCCUCUGAUGGACUCGCUGAGUCUGAUGAUCAGACAACAACAAAUUCGUUUUUUUCAGCUUCUAUUGCAGGUAUAACAAGAAAACAAGCCUAGGCUCGGAUACCAUUGUUGGGUUUUGAGCAUUCUAACACUCCUAAGUGUACAUGCAACCCUAAAUACCUUGGAUCUAUGUUUUCUCUAUUAUACAUGCAAAUAAGAACUUCCAAGGUAUUAUCCUAAUCUAGCAUACAAA